GCUCCAAUAGCGUAUAUUAAAGUUGUUGCGGUUAAAAAGCUCGUAGUUGGAUUUCUGUCGAGGAUGGUCGGUCCUACUCUGUAGGAGUAUCUGAUACAGCCUUGGCAUCCUCCUACAGAACGUACUGCUCUUCACUGAGUGGUGCGGAAUGUAGGACUUUUUACUUUGAGGAAAUUAGAGUGUUUACGGCAGGCAAACGC
rnacentral:rRNA from 1 species